GUGGGCGGGCGGGGGAAGGAAGGAAGGAAGGGCCGAGGGGCCGGUCGGGGGAGCUGCGGCCGCGCCUGUGCGCCUCCGAGGGCGGCCGGGAUGGAUCACCACCAGCCCGCCAGCCGAUACCGAGUGCUUCACAAUGAGGAUGACCCCCCAGAGUCUUCAGGAGCUGAGCAGCCUUCCACAUCUACAGAGACUACGCAGACUCCCCAGACGGCAGCCUUACCUGAAGCAGAUACUUCCCCUCCACCUUACUGUAGCAUAGCUGUAGAACCAGCUGCGACCUCAGAAACACACAAUGAAUUUUAUCCUGUACCACCUCCAUACAGUGUAGCUACCUCUCUUCCUACUUACGAUGAAGCAGAGAAGGCCAAAGCUGCAGCAAUGGCAGCUGCUGCAGCAGAAGUUGCCCAACGACACGUCCAGUUUAGGGAGUCUAGGAGUCUGUUUGAUGAAAUAUUCCUCAGUCGUCCAGAGGAAGAAGAGUAUCCACCACGGGAUGAUUUCAGUGAUGCAGAUCAGCUUAGAGUGGGCAAUGAUGGCAUCUUCAUGUUGGCAUUUUUCAUGGCAUUUAUUUUCAACUGGAUUGGAUUUUGUUUAUCCUUCUGUAUAACAAAUACUAUAGCUGGAAGGUAUGGUGCAAUCUGUGGAUUUGGUCUGUCCCUGAUCAAGUGGAUUCUCAUUGUACGGUUUUCAGAUUAUUUUACUGGAUAUUUCAAUGGACAGUACUGGCUUUGGUGGAUAUUUCUUGUACUUGGACUCCUCCUGUUCUUUCGAGGCUUUGUUAAUUAUCUUAAAGUCAGAAAUAUGUCUGAAAGCAUGGCAGCUGCUCACAGAACAAGAUUUUUUUUCUUGUACUGAAGAUUGGUCACAGGAUCAAUAUGAAGUAACCAGCAAGACAUUGAAGCCUGAAAAAAACUGAGACGACUGCAUGGAACAGACAUUCCUUUCCUAUACCAGUGUGCAACUUCCAGCUGAUCUGUAACCCUCCGAGUUAAUAGGAUAGAAGACUACUAAAACAAGACGACAAAUUAGUGAAGAUACGGCUUCAAAAACGAAUGGCAGGAUGGUUUAUGCUCUAAUACCAGUGCUGGUCAUCCUAGUAAAUAUUUAUAAUUGCUGCCUUUUGUUUUAGCACAUUUGUAUAUGUGCUUAUUGAAAAGAUAGUAUUGAAGUACAAACAAACCAUCUGUUAGUAUAGAUUAGGUACAGUCAGACUGGGUUAAUCUGUGCUUGUUGUAUCUGAAAGACUUAAGUGGUAACUUGUUUCACAGCACGUAUGUACCACUGACUUGUUGAUCUGAACUUUGAGUACAAUGAAAUGCAUUAAAUGAUUCAGAUUAACCAGUUCAGACAGGGUUUUUUUAUAUAAUUUAGAUUCAUUUAAUGAUUGUGUAGAACAUUAAGUUUACUAAACCCCAAAGUUCCUUGUUGUCAUGAACUUGUAUUCACCAAUAUUUUAUCAAAUUCAAACCAAUAUACUGGUUUGCUUAAAACUGAUACUCCACUUUGAGUCCCCUGUAAAUAACUCUGCAUAAAUGACUGUUUGAAUUGCUUCUUAGGAAAUAUGUCAAAAUAUAUUUUGUAACAGCAUAUUCUCUAAAUUUUGUUUAAUCUUAGAGCUACAUACAUAUUUUUUGUUAAUUGGCUAUUAAGGGUAUAGUUACUAUUAGGUGUAAUUUUGGAGGUAAAGGCAGUGAAUUAUUUGUCUCAUCUUAACUUUCCUCACAUGAAUUAUUAUUAACUGGUUUGGGCUUGAGCCUGAAAGUCGUUAUUCAUAUGCAUGACCCCUUUAAAAGAUAGAGUUUGUUCAUGUUAGCAGGGAUGGACAGCCUUACAUCUUUAGUCCUUGGUUAUGCAGUUGGAUCCUCGUAGGUGCACUUCUGUUCCUGAAACAAGAGUAUUGCAAAUGUAUUCCCUGGGUUAUAACACUGUCUCUGUUUAAGAAGUCUUGAGUUCAGUAUAAAUAAAACAUCCACCCUAAGGGCUUCUCAAAAAAAAUUCAUAUAGCUGUCUUACAACGCUUGUUUAGAAUAAGUACUUUGCCACUUCCUAAGAAUAAACUAAUGUAAUUGUAAGGUAAUCUUGGAAAUAAUCUAUGAAGGAAAAAAAAAAAAUCUUUUAAAGCUCUGAAAGUAGAAAAUGUGUGUUGCACCUCUCCCACUAUUCGUUUAAGGUAUGCCAUUACUUUCUUAAAAAUACCAUCUCUUUAAAGGGUACUGUCUACUGUUCAUGCAUGUGUGGUUUCCUUUAAAGUUUGAAAUUUAUGCUUCUCCUUAAGUAGGAGAAUACAUCUCGCAGUCCUUUGUAGAACUGGAAUCUCAGUUUCAAAAAUACAUUGGUUGUUGGUUGCACCUUUGAGGAAAAAAAAUACAAAUACUUUCCUCCAGUUUUUCUUUUUAUAUUAGAAUUCUGCCUUUUUAUUACUAACAUUAAAACCAGUGAGGUUUAUGUUGUUUUAAGCUAGUGCUGUAUUCAGUUUUGUAUCUAUAAUGAAUGUUUAAAAUAGACAUAUGUAAACUGGUCACAUUAUUCAUUUUCUUAAUCUUUCAGAGAUACUGAAAGUGACUAAAAAUUUAGGGGCACCUCCACUUCCCAGCUUUUGAUGGAAAGAAUAAAAUUAAGUAUUAUGUUCAAUAUCUGAUUGGGAUUUCCUUCUAAACUUACCUGUUCGUUUCUGUGUUCUUUUGCAUUCAUUGUCCAUAUGAAAAAGAAGCGGAUAAUAAAACAUUGCUUUGUUUUGCUAGUUAA